rnacentral:rRNA from 1 species
UCUGGAUUAUAAACUUAUUUACCUGAGCACUAUGAAUAGAAGAUUCUGUGUUAAUUUAAAACUCAAAAGGCUUGGCGGUGUUUUAGACUUUUCAGGGGAACCUGUCUCUUAAUCGAUAGUCCACGAUAGACCUAACUUUAUUUUAGGGUAUGUAUACCGUCGUCAACAGGUGACUUUUAAAAAAAUAAAAGUUAGCAAGUAAAAAAAUUUAUUUUUUAUGUCAGAUCAAGGUGCAGCUUAUAAAAAAGUGAGGAUGGGUUACAAUUAAUAAAAUUUUAAUUACGAAGAUGUUGAUGAAAUUCAUAUUUGAAGGAGGACUUGAAAGUAAAAAUUUAACUAUAUAGACGUUUUGAAUAUAGCUCUGAAACGUGCACACAUCGCCCGUCGCUCUCGCUGAAAAAUGAGAUAAGUCGUAACAUAGUAAUGGUAACGGAAGUUGUCGUUAGAUG